UAUUGGUCAAUGGUCGGGAGACUGAACCAGCCAAGCCGCGUGAGGGAGGAAGGUACAGAGUAUCGUAAACCUCUUUUGUCAGGGAACAAAGGCGGGGACGUGUCCCCGGAUGAGUGUACCUGAAGAAAAAGCAUCGGCUAACCCCGUGCCAGCAGCCGCGGUAAUACGGAGGAUGCGAGCGUUAUCCGGCUUUAUUGGGUUUAAAGGGUGCGCAGGCGGUCUGUUAAGUCAGCGGGAAAGGCCGGGGGCCAACCCCCGGACCGCCGUUGAAACUGGCAGUCUCGAGUUGGAGAGAAGUAUGCGGAAUGCGCGGUGUAGCGGUGAAAUGCAUAGAUAUCGCGCAGAACUCCGAUUGCGAAGGCAGCAUGCCGGCUCCACACUGACGCUGAGGCACGAAAGCGUGGGUAUCGAACAGG
rnacentral:rRNA from 1 species